AGCCAACAGAGUAGAUGACAAUAAUGCAGUAAACACCAGCCUGUACACUCAGCCAACAGAGUAGAUGACAAUAAUGCAGUAAACACCAGCCUGUACACUCAGCCAACAGGGUAGAGGAUGUAUUGGCUCCACUAACUCCAUGUCAGGUGUGUCAGGUGUUUUCCAGCAGAGGUGUCAGGCUUUUCCAGUAGAGGUGUCAGGGGUUUUUCAGCAGAUCCAUUGGAGGGUGAGUGAGUGUGCAUGUUUAGUAUGCACUGUGCUCAGUCGCACUUCACUGAGACACACCCUUUCCCAUCUGUUUUGUUUCCAGAAAAGUCGGUCUGAGUUUCAUUUCACAGGGGAGGUGGAGACUCAGGUUUUGUUGCUACCCUGCAGUAUAAAAUCCCCACACGGCUCGCUCUCCUCAGUCCUGCAGUCCCCUGCUGAACGCCAUUAUGACGACCACAGAUGAGCAGGAUGAAGAGGAAGAUGAUGAUUAUGACGAAAAGUAUGAAGAUUACAAGUAUAAUUACUUGUUAUAGUGUACAGUCAGUCUACUCCCAAGGGUAGCACACUGGCUUCCUUUGUGGAACCGGUGGGCAGAAGUCCCUCUGAGGCACUGAAACAGACCUUAAAACUAGGAGGCGGAACUCCUUCCAGAUGAGGAAGGACUUAGUCUGUUUUGUUCGAGGUUAUCACUAUCACAAUGCUAUGUGAAGGUACUUGAAGGAAUUUCUGAGUGGCUCAGACCAUUUCAGGGUUGCUGCUUUGGCUAAUGGUUAGGAUUGCAUAAUUUACUAUAUGAGGACAUUAUGGUUGUAGAUAUCUUUUCAAUAAUGUAAGAUAUGUAGAUGCAUCUAACCUCCAAACCCAGGAUCUCUCCUGAAAUGAAGCCACAAGUCUAAACUCCCAUCUUCUGCUGUGUGUCAUGCAAAAAAUGCAUCACAAACCGCUGAAAGGCACAAAAGAGAGCCACUAGGAGACAGGAGGGCAGAGUUCCACCUGAGGUACUGAAGAUAAGACAAGAUUUCUACCAGGCCUUAAAGGGAGAAGAGGCGCCUACCAGAUGAGGAAGGAGGACUUAAGCCUUGAAACCAUGAAGCGAGAAGACUCUCACAAAAUGAAGGCAGUUUAUUAUGUUAAUCAUAACAUGAUUAACAUAAUACAUCAUGUCUGUUGUACCUUAAACUAAUGGACAUACUGUAUGUUCAACUAUCACAAUGCUAUGUGAAGCAAUGUGAAGUGUCUCAGAACAUUUCUGUCACGUCACUUGCUCUGAGACCUUGAAGUAGUUGUUCCCCUUGCUCGGCUUUUUGAUGCUUCAAGGGUGACUGUAGUCUAUGUGUGCAGGGGGGCCCCGAUUCGAGCCCAGGUAAGGGCAACGAGAGGGACGGAAGCUAUAGGGACUAUGUUCAACUAUAACGAUGUCUGUCGCUUGGUUUUGUGGCUAACGGGAACAUUUGAGGGUAGUUCAGGAUAAAAUGGUUAUGAUUGCCUAUAUUUUCAUAAUGUAUUAUGAACAUAAUUUAGGGUGAUUACAUAUGUUCAUAUAUAAUGUAUAUGUAGAUACAACUAACUAUCAAAGCCAACAUCUCCCUUCACUUGGAGCCACAUGUUGAAUGUCCCUUCUUGUGUUUUACUUGUUUUGAAAUAAAUGUUUUCUUUCAUUCUAA